CCGAAGAUUUGGAUUUGAUUUCCAGCCCUGUGCCAGGCAGUCAGCCACUCACUUUCAAGUGACAAGCCUUAGGCGGGUGACUUUCUGUCUCUGUUUCUCGAUUUCUGCACAGGGAUUGCUGUGGGCCUGAAGGCCCACUGGGAAACCAUCCCUUUUCCAGCUCGGUGCCUGGUUCGUGGAGUCUACCUGUCAAUCUGGACUUUCAUACACCUAUGCUUUUGGAUGCACUCUGUUACCUCUCCUAGAAAUUAGCAGAGAAAAUUGACAGUGGAUUGACAAGAAGGAGAAUCCGUUCUAAAGAAUUCCAACAGAACGGAAUCCUUUAUGACCAAAAGAAUGCUCAACUCAAGUGGACACAGAUCCCUCAUUUUGACUUCAUUAGCUACGGCACCGAGAGAUAACUUUUUGAAAAUACACAGCUAAAGCUGUCCGAGCUUUAAGUGCUAGACCAGUUUGUCAGAAUACACAGCUAAAACGGUCCCUGCUUUAAGUGCUUUUGCACUUAAAGCAGGGACCGUUUUAGCUGUGUAUUUUCAAAAAGCUGUGUACUCUCCCUAUAAUAAGCUACUUUUCUUGUUACUUUUGGUCCCCAGGAGAAAUGGGAGUCGUUUUCAGACAGCAUGGGAGACACAUGAGUCCUUUGGAGUCCUCUUGUCUGCCUCUGAGGGUGCAAUGAGGGCGUGAAGCACUUUGGGAGGUGUCCAGACACACAGCAUGUUCUCCGUUUGACUGGGCGGUCGUUUCGAAUCCGCGCAGCCUCGACCAUGCUUUCACUGGAUAGCCAUGAAGAAUUUCGUUCUACUUAAUAACGUGUGGGCUUGAGGAGGAGCCAGCAUUGGAUUAGAAGGAGGGAGAAUGGACGUGUGAAUUAGGGUAAGGUGUCUCUUCCUUUGGAGCAUGGAUGCGUACGAAGCCCACCUCAUGCUACUAAGUAUUUGGCUGGACUCGACCCGUUGUGUGGGAUGCCUCUGUGUGCGUGUGUGUGUGAGUGUGUGUGUUUUUGGGUGUGGGAGGGUGUGGGUGUGGGUGUGUGUGGGUGUGGGUGUGUGUGGGUGGGUGUGGGUGUGUCAGUGUUUGUGUCUCCAGGCCUGAGCAGCAGACGCUUUUUCCUCUGGUUGCAUGUUACUCAGAAACUUGGAUAACGCCCAGCCAUCCUGAAAACGCAAUACAUGUAGGUUUGCAGACAUUGAUGUUGAUGAUUGGCGAUAGCGUGGUGAUGGACAGCAGCUCAUUUCCCAUGUACCACUGAGGCCUGCUGAGCUUUGCUCAAGAGGGCUCUUGACUCUUACUUUGUGACAGGAGCUCCUAAGUGAAUCAA